GUCUACGGCCAUGCUACCCUGAACAAGCCCGAUCCCGUCUGAUCUCGGAAGCUAAACAGGGUCAGGCCUGGUUAGUACUUGGGUGGGAGACCACCUGGGAAGACCAAGUGCUGUAGGCA
rnacentral:rRNA from 1 species